GGAACUGAACACAGAAGCAGUUGCAGGAAGCAGUUGGUGAACUCUGGAAGAGUGAAGCUGCUUUUCUCUGGCAGUCAAGAGAGACCAGGGUUGAUAUCUGUUAUUUCUGGGGAGGACCCAGAGAGCCAAUGGUCCCUUUUACUUUGGGCUUCUUUGUUUCCUGCCUGUCCUUGAAACUGGAGCUGCUGCUACUGCUGUGGAGAAGAUUUCAUCUUAGCUGUUACUGGGAUUGCUGCUUGACACAAAGGAGGAUUCUGAUGAAGAAAAUGAGAAAUGGAGAAAUUGUGACUUGUUCUGGUUAUUUGUUGAUCUUCAUACAUGGAAAGGGCCAAAAUAACACCAAGGGAUAUCUUCUGACUCUCCUAUAAGUUGGAUUUAAGUGAGGCAGAGUUGUGUGAAGACAUAAGUCUCACUCUCUCUUCUGGAGUCAUCAAAGACCAAUGGCAAAACAAAAGUCAAGAGGAUUGGUGAUGGUCUGGGAUGCUGUGGAUGACCUUGGCUUCAUUGAUGUCUGACCCAGUUCUAAGCUCUUCACAAGAUCUUCUCCUACUACCUUCAUAUUCAUUGGAAUAAAUUGUUCUCAUCUACCCCUUCUACUAAGUAA
rnacentral:lncRNA from 1 species